CGUUGAAACACCGGUUCUCGUACGAUCACUUAAGUUAAGCAACAUCGAGCCUGGUCAGUAUCUCGGUGGGUGACCGCUUCGGAGAGC